rnacentral:tRNA from 1 species
CAAAGAAUAGUUUAUAAAAAUAAUAAUUUUGGAGAUUAUUGAUAAGAUUUUAAUCUUUUCUUUGA